AAAUCAUAUUGGCAAAACUAGAGCAAUCUAGUGACGCAAAGCUAUAGGGCCUAUCUUAGGUAGCCAGUUGCAAUU
rnacentral:ncRNA from 2 species